CGGAAUAGCUCAGUUGGUAGAGCAUCUCAUUCGUAAUGAGGGGGUCGCAAGUUCAAGUCUUGUUUCCGGC
rnacentral:tRNA from 1 species